rnacentral:rRNA from 1 species
CCUACGGGAGGCAGCAGUGGGGAAUAUUGGACAAUGGGCGCAAGCCUGAUCCAGCCAUGCCGCGUGUGUGAAGAAGGCUUUCGGGUUGUAAAGCACUUUCAUCAGUGAGGAAAGGUUAGUAGUUAAUACCUGCUAGCUGUGACGUUAACUGAAGAAGAAGCACCGGCUAACUCCGUGCCAGCAGCCGCGGUAAUACGGAGGGUGCAAGCGUUAAUCGGAAUUACUGGGCGUAAAGCGCGCGUAGGUUGAUUGCUAAGCGAGAUGUGAAAGCCCCGGGCUUAACCUGGGAACUGCAUUUCGAACUGGUCGUCUAGAGUACAGUAGAGGGUGGCGGAAUUUCCUGUGUAGCGGUGAAAUGCGUAGAGAUGGGAAGGAACAUCAGUGGCGAAGGCGGCCACCUGGACUGAUACUGACACUGAGGUGCGAAAGCGUGGGGAGCA